rnacentral:rRNA from 1 species
ACUCCUACGAGAGGCAGCAGUGGGGAAUAUUGCACAAUGGGCGCAAGCCUGAUGCAGCCAUGCCGCGUGUAUGAAGAAGGCCUUCGGGUUGUAAAGUACUUUCAGCAGUGAGGAAGGCGGAGUCGUUAAUAGCGGCCUCGUUUGACGUUAGCUGCAGAAGAAGCACCGGCUAACUCCGUGCCAGCAGCCGCGGUAAUACGGAGGGUGCGAGCGUUAAUCGGAAUUACUGGGCGUAAAGCGCAUGCAGGUGGUUUGUUAAGUCAGAUGUGAAAGCCCGGGGCUCAACCUCGGAAUUGCAUUUGAAACUGGCAGACUAGAGUACUGUAGAGGGGGGUAGAAUUUCAGGUGUAGCGGUGAAAUGCGUAGAGAUCUGAAGGAAUACCGGUGGCGAAGGCGGCCCCCUGGGACAAAGACUGACGCUCAGAUGCGAAAGCGUGGGGAGCAAACAGGGAUUAGAUA